GUUUUAGUAGUUUAUAAAAAAUAUUGGUCUUGUAAAUCAAAGAAAAAAAAUUGUUUUCUAAAACU
rnacentral:tRNA from 1 species